rnacentral:rRNA from 1 species
AGGACGAACGCUGGCGGCGUGCUUAACACAUGCAAGUCGAGCGGAAAGGCCCUUCGGGGUACUCGAGCGGCGAACGGGUGAGUAACACGUGAGUAACCUGCCCCGGACUUUGGGAUAACCCUCGGAAACGGGGGCUAAUACCGAAUACGACCUGACACUGCAUGGUGUUUGGUGGAAAGUUUUUUCGGUCUGGGAUGGGCUCGCGGCCUAUCAGCUUGUUGGUGGGGUGAUGGCCUACCAAGGCGACGACGGGUA